GUGCCAGCAGCCGCGGUAAUACAUAGGGGUCAAGCGUUGUCCGGAUUUAUUGGGCGUAAAGAGCUCGUAGGCGGUUCAACAAGUCGGUCGUAAAAGUUUAGGGCUCAACCCUAAAAUGUCGAUCGAUACUGUUGUGACUAGGAUACGGUAGAGGUGAAUGGAAUUCCGAGUGUAGCGGUGAAAUGCGUAGAUAUUCGGAGGAACACCAAUUGCGUAGGCAGUUCACUGGGACCGUGAUCGACGCGGGGGAGCAACGGCUAGGGGAGCAAACAGUAUUAGAUA
rnacentral:rRNA from 1 species